rnacentral:lncRNA from 10 species
UUUUGGAUAUGAAUCCACUGAGCCGGUGAGUACCUAAAAUAAACAAUCCUCCUGUUCUCCGUAUCAGUCUCUCCUGUCCUCAGUUUCCUGCAACACACUCAUCUCUCACUGGCACCUCCCAUUGGCCAACCCAGACAGAGCAAGGGGACAAGGCCAGGCUGCCAGGACAGUGAGCAGGAUGUGAAGGGUAAAGGGUGACUCUGGAAGAAUGGAUGAAGCUGUCCAGCCCAGCUGGCCAUGCAUUUCUGGCUCUCAUGCUCUUGGACUUACUGUCUGACGCCGAAGUCCAUGCUGUUUCUUCUAGCCACUGCUCCUUACACCUUACUAAAGAAAUAUUUUACAAUUUCAUGAACCUGGAAGCUGUCAGGAACUGUGAAGGCAAUGAGAUUUUACCCUACCUGCAAGCCAACAAGUCAGCCUGCCUGUUUCAUGGAUGCUGACAGGAGGCGUGAGAGACUCCCGAAUCCGAGACAAAGGACUUUAUUAUCACAGCAACAGCAAUAGCCAGACAAUCAAGGUUUUUGCACCAGUGCCCUCAGCCUCAGUUUCCACAGGACCACAUGAAGAGGGCCAGGUAAUACUGUAUAUGCAGUGGGUUGCAUUACAGAACAGCAAUGCUUAGCUUGGGGAACCUGUUGUAAGUAAGCAUACCGAUAUGGUUUGGCUGUGGCCCCACCCAAAUCUCAUCUUGAAUUGUAGCUCCCAUAAUUCCCAUGUGUUUUGGGAGGGACCCAGUGGGAGAUAAUUGAAUCAUGGGGAUGGUUUCCCCUCAUAUUUUUCUUGUGGUAGUGGAUAAGUCUCAUGAAAUCCGACGUUUCCCCUUUUGCUUGGCUCUCAUUCUCUCUCUUGUCUGCUUCCAUGUAAAACGUGCCUUUUGCCUUCUGCCAUGAUUGUGAGGCUGCCCCAGCCACGUGGAACUGUGGAUCCAUUAAACCUUCUUUUCUUUAUAAAUUAUCCGGUCUCAGGUAUGUCUUCAUCAGCAGUGCGAAAGUACACUAAUACACAUGCCCACCUUUGUUCCAAUGGGAGACACUCUCUCUGUCUCCCAAGAAUGUUUGUUAUGCAAAGAUAACACAGAACAAAAGGCAGACAGUGCCUCUGCUUGCAAGACAUGCAGAAAUGAGAGAGGGCCAUGGGGAAUUGUCCUCUAACAAAACCUGUGUCCCCUAACAGAAGCUGAGUGU